CAGUCGCCACGGUAAUACGAAGGGUGCAAGCGUUAAUCGGAAUUACUGGGCGUAAAGCGCGCGUAGGUGGUUUGGUAAGAUGGAUGUGAAAUCCCCGGGCUCAACCUGGGAACUGCAUCCAUAACUGCCUGACUAGAGUACGGUAGAGGGUGGUGGAAUUUCCUGUGUAGCGGUGAAAUGCGUAGAUAUAGGAAGGAACACCAGUGGCGAAGGCGACCACCUGGACUGAUACUGACACUGAGGUGCGAAAGCGUGGGGAGCAAACAGGAUUAGAUACCCCGGUAGUCCCUGUCUCUUAUAC
rnacentral:rRNA from 1 species